GAGAGUUUGAUCCUGGCUCAGGAUGAACGCUGGCGGCGUGCCUAAUACAUGCAAGUCGAGCGAAUGGAUUAAGAGCUUGCUCUUAUGAAGUUAGCGGCGGACGGGUGAGUAACACGUGGGUAACCUGCCCAUAAGACUGGGAUAACUCCGGGAAACCGGGGCUAAUACCGGAUAACAUUUUGAACCGCAUGGUUCGAAAUUGAAAGG
rnacentral:rRNA from 1 species